rnacentral:rRNA from 1 species
UACGUAGGGUGCAAGCGUUAAUCGGAAUUACUGGGCGUAAAGGGUGCGCAGGCGGCGUCGCAAGUCAGGCGUGAAAUCCCCGGGCUUAACCUGGGAACUGCACUUGAAACUACGAUGCUGGAGUAUGGCAGAGGGAGGUGGAAUUCCACGUGUAGCGGUGAAAUGCGCAGAUAUCGGGAAGAACACCCGUGGCGAAGGCGGUUCUCUGGGACGGUACUGACGGCUGAGACGCGAAAGCGUGGGGAGCAACAGG